UACAGGCUGAUAACUCGCAGG
rnacentral:piRNA from 1 species